AUUGAACGCUGGCGGCAUGCUUUACACAUGCAAGUCGAACGGCAGCACGGGUGCUUGCACCUGGUGGCGAGUGGCGGACGGGUGAGUAAUACAUCGGAACGUGUCCAGAAGAGGGGGAUAACGCAUCGAAAGAUGUGCUAAUACCGCAUAUACUCUAAGGAGGAAAGCAGGGGAUCGAAAGACCUUGCGCUUUUGGAGCGGCCGAUGUCUGAUUAGCUAGUUGGUGGGGUAAUGGCCUACCAAGGCGACGAUCAGUAGUUGGUCUGAGAGGACGACCAGCCACACUGGGACUGAGACACGGCCCAGACUCCUACGGGAGGCAGCAGUGGGGAAUUUUGGACAAUGGGCGCAAGCCUGAUCCAGCAAUGCCGCGUGAGUGAAGAAGGCCUCGGUUGUAAG
rnacentral:rRNA from 1 species